rnacentral:lncRNA from 1 species
UAGGGAAGAAAUCUUCUAUGACCAUCAAACCAACACGUCUUCCUUCCAUUCGGUAGGUAAUAAGACUUUGUAUAAUCCAUGCAAACUGGAAAAGACAAUUUACCAUGGGUGGUCCAUCCAGAUAACAUGCCGUACGACAGAAAGUCGCUUAUCGUCCACUGCUUUUAAGUUAAAAUUUUGACUCAACGACACGUCGUAUGCAUCGACUCCAGUAGACCACAACUCUUUUAACUCCUCAAUAAGUGGUUGAAGAAAGAUAUCAAAACUAGCUCACGGAUGAUUAGUCCCUGAAUUCAGAAUUGUACGAAAAAAUUACUCUAUAUCCAUGCACAUACCAGAGGGUAGAUUAUAUGGAGUUAAGAUCACAUGCCAUAACGAAUGAUUA